rnacentral:rRNA from 1 species
GACGAACGCUGGCGGCGUGCCUAAUACAUGCAAGUAGAACGCACAGUUUAUACCGUAGCUUGCUACACCAUAGACUGUGAGUUGCGAAUGGGUGAGUAACGCGUAGGUAACCUGCCUGGUAGCGGGGGAUAACUAUUGGAAACGAUAGCUAAUACCGCAUAAUAUUAAUUAUUGCAUGAUAAUUAAUUGAAAGGUGCAAUUGCACCACUACCAGAUGGACCUGCGUUGUAUUAGCUAGUAGGGGAGGUAACGGCUCACCUAGGCGACGAUACAUAGCCGAACUGAGAGGGUGAUCCGCCACACUGGGACUGAGACACGGCCCAGACUCCUACGGGAGGCAGCAGUAGGGAAUCUUCGGCAAUGGCCGAAAGUCUGACCGAGCAACGCCGCGUGAGUGAAGAAGGUUUUCGGAUCGUAAAGCUCUGUUGUAAGAGAAGAACGGGUGUGAGAGUGGAAAGUUCACACUGUGACGGUAUCUUACCAGAAAGGGACGGCUAACUACGU